rnacentral:rRNA from 1 species
AUGACUAGGGAUGACCUUAGGAAGAGACACAUCAUCAAACCCCUUGAUUGUGUUUACUGCUUGGAACAAGAGUCUUGUUCUCACCUAUUUUUUGAAUGUAUAGUUGCUAAACAUCUCUGGGCCCACAUUGAGGAAUAUUUCUCUAGUCAGAUUGGCUCAUCCUUCGAAUCUGUCGCCAGAUUCUGGAUUGCUACCAAAAAGUGCUCAGUUUUAAACACUGUUAGCUCAGCUGUCCUUUGGUGCCUCUGGAAAUAUAGAAAUGCUAUGAUUUUCAGUAACACCUCCUGGAUUUCCAUUCCGCAGGUCUUGAGGUUGAUCGGGAACAUGGUGAGGAACUGGGUGAUUCUCUCCUCCGGAUCGGACAAGGACAAGUUGAUGAGCUUCGUGGAAACCCUAACAAGAUCCCUCCAGAAACCGUUGGCGAUCACUUGUGGCUGA